UAAUUGGACCAGAGGCGAACACCUCCCAGU
rnacentral:piRNA from 1 species